CUGUAAGCCGUUGAAGGUGUGCUGUGAGGCAUGCUGGAGGUAUCAGAAGUGCGAAUGCUGACAUAAGUAACGAUAAAGCGGGUGAAAAGCCCGCUCGCCGGAAGACCAAGGGUUCCUGUCCAACGUUAAUCGGGGCAGGGUGAGUCGACCCCUAAGGCGAGGCCGAAAGGCGUAGUCGAUGGGAAACAGGUUAAUAUUCCUGUACUUGGUGUUACUGCGAAGGGGGGACGGAGAAGGCUAUGUCGGCCGGGCGACGGUUGUCCCGGUUUAAGCGUGUAGGUGUGUGCUCCAGGCAAAUCCGGUGCACUUUAACACUGAGGCGUGAUGACGAGGCACUACGGUGCUGAAGUGACAAAUGCCCUGCUUCCAGGAAAAGCCUCUAAGCAUCAGGUAACAUCAAAUCGUACCCCAAACCGACACAGGUGGUCAGGUAGAGAAUACCAAGGCGCUUGAGAGAACUCGGGUGAAGGAACUAGGCAAAAUGGUGCCGUAACUUCGGGAGAAGGCACGCUGAUAUGUAGGUGAAGUGAUUUACUCAUGGAGCUGAAAUCAGUCGAAGAUACCAGCUGGCUGCAACUGUUUAUUAAAAACACAGCACUGUGCAAACACGAAAGUGGACGUAUACGGUGUGACGCCUGCCCGGUGCCGGAA
rnacentral:rRNA from 1 species